rnacentral:rRNA from 1 species
CCUACGGGAGGCAGCAGUGAGGAAUAUUGGUCAAUGGACGCAAGCCUGAACCAGCCAUGCCGCGUGCAGGAAGACGGCCCUAUGAGUUGUAAACUGCUUUUGUACGAGGGUAAACGCAGAUACGCGUAUCUGUCUGAAAGUACCGUACGAAUAAGGAUCGGCUAACUCCGGGCCAGCAGCCGCGGUAAUACGGAGGAUUCAAGCGUUAUCCGGAUUUAUUGGGUUUAAAGGGUGCGUAGGCGGUCGGAUAAGUUAGAGGUGAAAUCCCGAGGCUCAACUUCGGAAUUGCCUCUGAUACUGGUCGGCUAGAGAAUAGUUGCGAUAGGCGGAAUGUAUGGUGUAGCGGUGAAAUGCUUAGAGAUCAUACAGAACACCGAUUGCGAAGGCAGCUUACCAAGCUACUUCUGACGUUGAGGCACGAAAGCGUGGGGAGCAAACAGGAUUAGAUACCCCGGUAGUC